rnacentral:rRNA from 1 species
UACGGAGGGGGCUAGCGUUGUUCGGAAUCACUGGGCUUAAAGGGUGCGUAGGCGGCGCGGUAAGUCGGGUGUGAAAUCUCGGAGCUUAACUUCGAAACUGCAUUCGAUACUGCCGUGCUUUGAGGACUGGAGAGGAGACUGGAAUUUACGGUGUAGCGGUGAAAUGCGUAGAUAUCGUAAGGAAGACCAGUGGCGAAGGCGGGUCUCUGGACAGUUCCUGACGUGAGGCACGAAGGCCAGGGGAGCAAACGGG